rnacentral:rRNA from 1 species
GAUGAACGCUGGCGGCGUGCCUAAUACAUGCAAGUCGAGCGAACAGAUGAGGAGCUUGCUCCUCUGACGUUAGCGGCGGACGGGUGAGUAACACGUGGAUAACCUACCUAUAAGACUGGGAUAACUUCGGGAAACCGGAGCUAAUACCGGAUAAUAUAUUGAACCGCAUGGUUCAAUAGUGAAAGACGGUUUUGCUGUCACUUAUAGAUGGAUCCGCGCCGCAUUAGCUAGUUGGUAAGGUAACGGCUUACCAAGGCAACGAUGCGUAGCCGACCUGAGAGGAGGAUCGGCCACACUGGAACUGAGACACGGUCCAGACUCCUACGGGAGGCAGCAGUAGGGAAUCUUCCGCAAUGGGCGAAAGCCUGACGGAGCAACGCCGCGUGAGUGAUGAAGGUCUUCGGAUCGUAAAACUCUGUUAUUAGGGAAGAACAAAUGUGUAAGUAACUAUGCACGUCUUGACGGUACCUAAUCAGAAAGCCACGGCUAACUACGUG